rnacentral:pre_miRNA from 1 species
GGGGAAGGGGAAGCCGACGGAAUGCUGAAGAGCAGAGGGGAAAACCUCCUCCUCUCUUCAGCAUUCCGUCUGCUUCCUUUUCCCCA